UACAGAGGGUGCAAGCGUUAAUCGGAAUUACUGGGCGUAAAGCGUGCGUAGUCGGUUAUUUAAGUCGGGUGUGAAAGCCCCGGGCUCAACCUGGGAAUUGCAUUCGAUACUGGAUAGCUAGAGUUCGGCAGAGGGAAGCGGAAUUUCCGGUGUAGCGGUGAAAUGCGUAGAUAUCGGAAGGAACACCAGUGGCGAAGGCGACCUUCUGGACAGAUACUGACACUGAGGCACGAAAGCAUGGGUAGCAAACAGG
rnacentral:rRNA from 1 species